rnacentral:rRNA from 1 species
CCUACGGUAGACAGCAGUCGAGAAUCAUUCACAAUGGGGGAAACCCUGAUGGUGCGACGCCGCGUGGGGGAAUGAAGGUCUUCGGAUUGUAAACCCCUGUCAUGUGGGAGCAAAUUAAAAAGAUAGUACCACAAGAGGAAGAGACGGCUAACUCUGUGCCAGCAGCCGCGGUAAUACAGAGGUCUCAAGCGUUGUUCGGAAUCACUGGGCGUAAAGCGUGCGUAGGCUGUUUCGUAAGUCGUGUGUGAAAGGCGCGGGCUCAACCCGCGGACGGCACAUGAUACUGCGAGACUAGAGUAAUGGAGGGGGAACCGGAAUUCUCGGUGUAGCAGUGAAAUGCGUAGAUAUCGAGAGGAACACUCGUGGCGAAGGCGGGUUCCUGGACAUUAACUGACGCUGAGGCACGAAGGCCAGGGGAGCGAAAGGGAUUAGAUACCCUGGUAGUC